rnacentral:lncRNA from 1 species
CACUGGGCCUGCUGCUGGACUGCUUCUUUCUUCUUUUUUUCUGCUUCUUUCUUUCUUUUUUUCUGCUGCUUCUUUUUGGGCUGGCCUACUACUGCUGGGCCUGUUGGGUCGGGUCGCGGGUUGAAUUCGGGUCGGGUCGACCCGAUAUAUUAUUUUUUUAUUUUUCUUUCCCCUUUUUUCUUUCCUUUUUUUUCUUCUUUCUUCUAUGUUUCUUCUUUUCUUUUUUCUUUCUUCUCCGUUCAACCCCGACGGUGCACCCCCAGCCUGGCGCGUCGAUCAGCGGUGGCGCAUUGUGAAGCUCCCCUCUUCUCUUCUCUCUUUCUUCUUUGCUUGUUUUUUUCUUUUUGCUUGCUGUUUUUUUCUUUGACUUUGCUUUUUUUUUUAUUGGCUUUCUUUGUCUUUGGUGGAUGGGGGAACGACGGACGGCAGUGAGGGACGGCGGUGGACGCGGAGGCGUGGGGCUUUUUGCUGCUGCUUUUUGCUUGAUUUUUGCUUGAUUUUGUUGUUUUUUUUUUUGCUUUCCUUGGCUGCCGAAAAUCCCCCCCUUCUUCCUUUCAUCUCCCUCUUUUAAAUCCUUUCAAUUUUGUCUUCAGGUUGCAGGAGAGCCAUCAUGGCCUAGGGAGGCUGCUGGAGUAGCUCGGCUGGGGAGGGGUACGCUUGGCUGCUAUUACGGUGAUUUGACAAGUCCAGGAGGACCAAAUUGCAUAGGAUGCAAAGCUUCUAGGGUAAAAGUGCAAUUUUAGCAAAAAAUAUGGGCCAAAAUGUAAUUUCUUGAAAGUUUAGGGGUUAAAGUGAAAUUUUGAGAAAGUUUAAAGGUUGAAAUGUAAUUUUAGAAAAGUUUGGG